rnacentral:rRNA from 1 species
ACGGAAGGCAGCAGUGAGGAAUAUUGGUCAAUGGAGGCAACUCUGAACCAGCCAUCUCGCGUGAAGGAAUACGGCCCUACGGGUCUUAAACUUCUUUUAUAGGGGGAUAAAGUGAGCCACGUGUGGCUUUUUGUAGGUACCCUAUGAAUAAGCAUCGGCUAACUCCGUGCCAGCAGCCGCGGUAAUACGGAGGAUGCGAGCGUUAUCCGGAUUUAUUGGGUUUAAAGGGUGCGCAGGCGGCACGUUAAGUCAGCGGUGAAAUGUCGGGGCUCAACCCGGGCACUGCCGUUGAAACUGGCGAGCUUGAGUACGGAUGAAGUCGGCGGAAUGUGAUGUGUAGCGGUGAAAUGCUUAGAUAUGUCACAGAACACCGAUUGCGAAGGCAGCUGACGAAUCCGCAACUGACGCUCAGGCACGAAAGCGUGGGGAUCGAACAGGAUUAGAUACCCUGGUA